GUGGGACUGCCGAGUCUGCAUUUCAGGCCCCAGACAUCCCUGGAAGAGGCUGUGCUUUCCAGAACUUUCAUGUCAGAUGCAUUGCCCCUCCCAGCUAGGAUCUUCUGGGGUCUAGCCUGAGCAUCUAGUCAGGACCUGGUGCUUGAGGUCAGAACAAGAAAAAGAAACAGAAAAGAAAAUCAGGAAGAACAAUGGUGACUGGCAAGCUGACUGUAUUUAUGUGAGGGAAACAUAAAAUGCAUGCGAAUGUGACAUUUAACCAGUCUAGUGCCUCAAAUCUUACAGACAUCUUAUAAAUCUUUACUGAUGGUGAGUGGUGAUGAUGAUGAUGAUGAUAAUGGAGAAGAAUUUAAAUAUGACAAUAACAUGAAAUCAGCCUCAGAGUGGCGAUUGGACUGUCCUUGAAGACUCUUGUUUCUUGAAGCUAUUUGUGCAUCUUCAUGUCCAAAUAUGUACCCACAGGAGGUUGUGAGCCCAAGACACAGAAGGAGAAGCUGCCUGAUCUUCCCUCUGCUUUAAACUGGAUGCUGAGGAAGACUCUGAGAUGUGUUCAAAAUUUGCCAAGUAUUUUUCACUUAUGGCACAUCUUGGUUCUGAAUCGCAACAUUUCAAGUGCUGAACAGCCAUGGACACCCUAAUGGACAGCACAGAUCUAGAAUUUUUCUUGAAUGUACUUAGAAUUGUGGAAGGGAUUUAAGCAUGGCAGUGGCAGGAUCAUGUUUGUGUUCCAGAUGCAUCACUGUAAUAGGAUGACUGUGGAUAAAAUGAGAGUUCCUGUGGCCAGGAUUCUCACCUGGCCCUGGCUGACUAGCUCACUGCACACCUGUGGGCAAUACAUGGCUGUUGACUCUAAAAGAGCUCUGCUUAGUGCUCUGGGCAUGACAUAGUGGCAGGGCUGCAAGGCUGCAGGAGAGCAGAGCAGAGGCUGGAGUGGUGGCAGCGCCAAGGACAGAGGCCCAGAGGAUGGCUGUGCAGGAUGACUGUGCAGAGAGGCCCAGAGGAUGGCUGUGCACGAUGACUGUGCAGAGAGGCCCAUAGGAUGGCUAUGUGGGAUGGCUGUGCAGACAGAGGGGCCCAGAGGCAGAGACCGGCUUGCUGCAUGCAGACUCACUCUGAGAGAAUGGGAUUUUAGUGACUGACCUGCUAUCUGGAAAUAAAGUUGAGUAUAACCCUUUCACCCCAAGAACCAAGAACGUUUUGCUGUCACUUUCUUUGGUCACACUGAAUCCAUAGUGAACUUGCCCGGGACUGAAACCCAUUGGCAAGACAAUGAUCAAGGUCUGCAUUAGGAGUUAGGAGGAUGAUAGUAAACGCAAAAGGAUACUGUUCAUUAGGAUCCAGUUAGAAAAUCACAAAUUCCCCCAGGUCUAUCAAUGAGAGGGAAACCAAUGCAGUAACUUGAUUAUCUGGUGAUGAGACUGAUGAAAGCGCAAGAGAGAGUGUUAGGCAAUCUGAAGGUGAGCCAAGCCAGGAAGUCACUGUCACCCUUAGUCUGGAGGGACAAAGGGAAGAGGCAGAGUUACCAGAGCCAGGGCUGGGGCCAUCUGCUGGGAACUGGAGCUCUGGUGGGGCUGGCUGGCGUGAGCAGGGACAGGCAGGGAAGAGCUGUCGUGAUAGAGAUGCCAUCAGAGGCAGAGCAAGAGAAGGAGAAAUGCCUGGCUUUUCCCCUCCUCCUACCUUCCUGCCUGUCAACAGUGCCUCCCACUGCCAAUUGAAACCUGGAAGCCAGUUGAAAGGGAAAUGUACUUUCCUGCAGUGCAGAGCAGGAUAGAGAACAGGUGGGGAUUGGAUCUAAGGGCAGAGAGGGGAGUCUUCGAGACAAGGAGACAAAUUUUUUAAACUCUUAAGAGGUAAGUUGGCGUAAGUUGAAGUCUAGAUGUAGGACAUCACAUUAGGUGGAAGUUUCCUCAUCUGCCCUAUGGGACUCUAUUAGGGAAGAAAAGAGUCAAAGGUAACCAACAUCAGGUUUCUCAGACUCAGCAAUUUCAAGCCAGUCUAAUUUGCCCAUCCACCCCUCCCUUGGGAUGAAUCCUUUCCCCAGAAAACUUGUAAUCCCUAUGUGAACAGGUUUCUGUCAUAGACCCACACUUUCAGUUAGCCUGAAACAAACAAGACAUCUAACUCCAAGCAAGGGCUCAUAUUAAAAUCUCACUGACACUAGCUUUGGUGAUAAGGUGUUAUCAAAUGAAAGCUCAAGAGGAUGAGCAGAUCUGAGACUGAGUACUGAGUGUGAGAAAUGUUGACUUUAAGACACUCAUAGCAUUCAAAGGAAUGAUGCCCAAUGGCAUCACUGAGCCUGAAAUUCAGAGAGAGUUCAUGUCUGAAGAUACUACUUGGGAGUCCUCAGCAUAAACAUAAUGUUGACAAGAUUGCUCAAAGAAUGUGUGUAGAAUGAGAAGAGAGGCAGACAAGGAAGAAACUCAGGAAAAGUAAACAAGGUGAUGUUGACAAGAAAGGAUGUCUGUGAAGGAGGCCAAAAAGGAUGGCCAGAGAGGAGGACCAGGAGGUGGUGAGUCAUGGAAGCCCAGGAAUAGACUCUUUAGUGAGUCCUGGAAAAGAGCUCGCCAGCCCAUUCACUCCACAGAUUCUUACUGAGCACCCAUUCCAUGCCAGGCACUGUCCCAGAUGCCAUGGAUACAGCAGCAAACAAAACAACAAACAUCUUUACCCAGGUAUGACUUACACUCUAGUAGCAGUGCCAGCAAAGAGGUCCAGCUGGAUAAAGAAUGAAUGGAGUCCAUUGGAUCGAAAAUUUGAAUGGCUUUGGUGAACAAUUGGUGAACUGCUUUGGUGAGCAGUUCCAACUGUGAUCAGUUCAGGAGACA